UAAUAAGCAAUGACGGCAGCAAUAAACUCAACAGGAGCAGGAAAGCGAGGGUAUCCUACAAAGUCCAGCGUACCAUAAACGCAAGCCUCAACGCAGCGACGAGCACGAGAGCGGUCAGUAGCAAUCCAAACUUUGUUACUCGUCAGAAAAUCGAAAUCAUCUUCGGUUAAAUCCAAAACGGCAGAAGCCUGAAUGAGCUUAAUAGAGGCCAAAGCGGUCUGGAAAC
rnacentral:rRNA from 1 species